CCUACGGGGGGCAGCAGUGAGGAAUAUUGGUCAAUGGCCGGAAGGCUGAACCAGCCAAGUCGCGUGAGGGACGACUGCCCUAUGGGUUGUAAACUUCUUUUAUAUGGGAAUAAAAUGUUCCACGUGUGGGAUUUUGUAUGUACCAUAUGAAUAAGGAUCGGCUAACUCCGUGCCAGCAGCCGCGGUAAUACGGAGGAUCCGAGCGUUAUCCGGAUUUAUUUGGUUUAAAGGGAUCGUAGGGGGAUUGUUAAGUCAGUUGUGAAAGUUUGCGGCUCAACCGUAAAAUUGCAGUUGAAACUGGCAGUCUUGAGUACAGGAGAGGUGGGCGGAAUGCGUGGUGUAGCGGUGAAAUGCUUAGAUAGCACGAAGAACUCCGAUUGCGAAGGCAGCUUACUGGACUGCAACUGACACUGAGGCUCGAAAGUGUGGGUAUCAAACAGGAGUAGAUACCCUAGUAGUC
rnacentral:rRNA from 1 species